rnacentral:lncRNA from 1 species
CCUUAGAUCAGGAGAGGCACUCCAUAGAAAUUAAGGCACUUAUUUGUGCAAGGGCCGGCAUCGUUGUUUGUAGCUACAAGACUAAAAAGAAAAAAAACAAAAAAAAAUCCAUCGGGCUGGAGAAAGCUCAACAGUUAAGAGCACUGGCCCAGGUUCGAGUUCCAACACUCACAUAACCACCUGUAACUCCUAUUUCAGGGGAAUUCGAUAUCCUCUUCUGACCUCUGCAAGCACCAGGCACAAGCAUAUAUGCAGGCAAAAUAUCCAUACACAUAUAAUUAAUUAGUUAGUUAAAAUUCGUCGAAUGGCCGGGCUGUGGUGGCGCCUGCCUUUAAUCACAGCACUUGAGAUGCGGAGGAUCUCGGAGUUCGAGGUCAGGAUAGCCAGGGGAUAUGUAGAGAGACCCGAUCUCUCAAAACAAACAAACAAAAAAGUAGCUGGAAAAUUAGAGUUCAUGCGUUCUGUGAGACCUUAUGCAGCUAUUAAAAUUAGCAAACUAGGUCCAUUUGUAUCUACCUAGAUUAGAGUCCAUGGCUUGUGGUUAAAUGAAAAAAAAAAAAGAAGAAGAAGAACAAACUACAUCACUCGAGUGGGAUUCCAGCCUGUAAGAGGGAAAAAAGAAAACCAUUCACAUGUGCCAGUGUUUUAUAAAACCUGUGCCAAAGGAUGUGGGACUGUGGACUUCAGUUAUCCGCAGGACAAAAAAUACAAGGGUGAAUUCAGAAGUGGUUUUCUCUCCUUAUUUUGCCUUGCAAAGGUCUCCAGAUGCAGAAGCAAGAGAAUCAGAAGUUGAAGGUCAUCCUCCCCAACAAAGGAACUUUGAAGCUGAGCUAUGUAUAUAAGUCCCUGUCUUAAGGCUGGGAGGAGACAAUUUCACACUAUACAGCACAGGGUGCCUUUAAACUCACUCUAUAACCUAGGCUGAACUCAAACUCUCUGAAAUUCUCUGGCAUCGGCAUACCAACACAUUGGUUGGGUGUUGUAGGAAUUUAGUGGCAUCACUGUUUCGGGAUAA